GUACAUUUAAGUAUAACACAUUAAUCAUUAUGUCCCACUGAGAAGAGCUCUGUGGCAAGUUAUUUUGCAGGCAAUUGGGACGCACGUUCUUCUCUUCCCCUAGCCGGUCUGAUUUUAAGAGUCUCAAGAUUUUAAGAACCUAGCAUGUAUUGGGUCUAUUUGUGUGAUCACACUUUAUGUAAUAGUCACCAAGAACUGAACGUAGAAAAUUACUUGCUGGAAAGAGAAUGUGUUUGUAUAUGAAUCUAUCUUUAGUUUGCUGGCAGCAGAAAGAAGGAUUGAAGGAUUUUGGACCUAUUAAACGUAUGCUCUAACAAUGAUUUAUUACAUCUUAUCAUUCAGCUGCUAAGUUUCUGCCUUGUCCCAUUCCACUGCUCCCCUGCCCUCUUGCAGAUAAACAAGCUGGAGGCUUGCCUCAGGCAGGCGAGGUGCUUGGAUGGUAAUGGGAUUCAACUGAAGGAAAAUGAGCACCAGAUGAAAGAAGGCUGCAUUACUUGGAGCUGUAAGGUAUGUGUUGCUGAAUGCUCAGUCUGGGAUAUAAAUCCUUUCCCCAGUCCUAUAUAAUGCCGUCUUGAACCAACCUGCAAUGAAAAGUCAAGCACAGAGGUUAGCCUUGCCACUGUGAUGGAUGUAGAUAAUAAGAAAUGUACAUGUACAAGAGAGUCUGGGAUUUGAGCAUCAGAUAUGAUCACAGUUAAGCGCAGGCCCAUAAAAUUGGGCUAGAUUGAUCUAUGGGUGCUUUCUAAAGGAACAUAUUGUGGUACAAAAUCAGGAUUGAGACUUAGUAGGUCCAGUCCACACCACUGCUGUGUUUCCUAGAUGGCCAAAACUACACAUGAUGCAGAAGAUCCAUGACUGGAACUCCUGAUGCCUUCAUUUGGACAUAAAAGCAAAUCCAGGGAAGCCCUGGCAUUGGGGAAGGUGUUUUAACCUCUUUCCCCUGUUCUGUUUUCCCAAUUCAAGUUUUUCCUCUUCCAGCUACUGUUUAUCCAGAUGAAAGAAAAUACAAGCACAGCAUUCUGUACCCAUAUUUCCCCCUUAGUGAAAUACAGAAGCUUUUUGGUGGUGAAGGGGGUGGCUCUCACUUGAGAAAGCAGCAAGGGAGGAAAGAGUUGAUUAUCCCACUUCCCCAAGUGGCUUUGCUACAGUCAGAACUGAAACUCCCUGCAUCUGUUUUCAAGCACAAACAAAAAUAAUGUGAGUCAGUUCUGAUGACAGAUCUCCCACCCCAUUUUAGAUGCAGUUUGGCCUUUAGAGACCCCAGUAUUAGGCAACUAAUUUUAACAAGACCCAUAAGCUGAAAUCUGCAGAGAUUCAAGGGCCAGCAACAACAAACUCCAUUCCUUGGUGGGUCAUGGCUUUGGCUGCUUUCUCUCCUGUGAGAAAAGGCAGCACAGGAGUGAGAAAAGUUCUAUCUCCAACCUAUUCAGCUCGCUCUCGUGCAAUCUGUGCAGUGGCAAGAACCAGUUGAGAAAAGUAAGUGGAGGGCUCUGCUAAAGUCUCUGCUGGUGUUCAUGCUAGGAAGGAGAUGACAAAAGAUCUCUUGACCUACAUCUCAGCUCAAAUGGGAAAGGAGAUGAUUCUGGUGCACUACAAGGGGGAAAGACCCUUGGAUAAGCAGCAAUGUUGGGGGAAGAUUGGGCUCCCAGGCUUAUCUCUAUUUAAAAUAGAAUAUAGUCCAGUGGCAGAGAAACUGCUUUGCAGACAGAAAGUCUAAGGUUCAGUUGCCAGAAUCGCCAGGUAGGGCUUAGAGAGAUCCCAGUCUGAAACCCUAGAGAGUUGUUGAUAAGUAAGGGUAGACAGAUGGAUAGAUGCACCAGUUGCCUUAGUAUAAGACAUCUUUCUAUGCUGCUAAGCCACUAUGACACUGUGCUUAAAAACAACUAUAAGUGUGUGCAUUCUGUCUUUUCUUGGACAUGCUCAUAGAAGCCAUGGAGGCAUUUGUUUGCAACUAGAUAUAAAGUCUGAGCAUUUUGACCACAACUGGAUGCCGUCAUCUGCCCCAGCUGCAACAAAACAUGUCUCCCAGCCAUCAAUUUCUUGACUUUAAGAAAGCCGACUUCAUAAAACUUAGGGAAGUGCUGGGUGAGAUCCCAUGGACAGUAAUACUAAAAGGAAAGGGAGUUCAUGAUGGCUGGGAGUUUGUUAAGAGGGAGAUACUAAAAGCACAACAUCAGGCAAUACCAAUGAGACGGAAACAUGGAAGGUGCCUAAAGAAGCCAGGGUGGCUAUCUAAAGAACUUUUAACUGAGUUAAGAUUAAAAAAAGGAUGCGUACAAAAAAUGGAAAAGGGGGAAACCACCAAAGAGGAAUUCAAACAAAUAGCCAGCACGUGUAGACACAAAGUCAGAAAAGCUAAAGCACAGAAUGAACUCGGCUUGCUAGAGAGGUUAAAAGCAACAAAAAGGCUUUUAUGGGUAUGUUCGUAGCAAAAGGAAGAACAAAGAAACAGUGGGGUCACUCAGAGGAGAAGAUGGUGAAAUGCAAACAGGGGACACAGAAAGGGCUGAACUCCUCAAUGCCGUCUUUGCCUCAGUCUUCUCCGAUAAAGAAAACAAUGCCCGACCUGAAGAAUUUGAAGCAAAUGAUUCAGCAAAGGAAACACAGCCCAGAAUAACUAAGGAGAUAGUACAAGAAUACUUGGCUAGUUUAGAUGUAUUCAAGUCUCCAGGGCCAGAUGAACUGCAUCCAAGAGUAUUAAAAGAACUGGCAGAUGUGAUCUCAGAACCACCGGCAGUCAUCUUUGAGAAUUCCUGGAGAACAGGCGAAGUCCCGGCAGACUGGAGGAGGGCAAAUGUUGUCCCUAUUUUCAAAAAGGGAAAAGAGAGGACCCAAAUAAUUACCGCCCAGUCAGUCUGACAUCAAUACCAGGGAAGAUUCUGGAGCAGAUCAUUAAGCAAACAGUCUGUGAGCACCUAGAAAGGAAUGCUGUGAUCACCAAUAGUCAGUAUGGAUUUCUGAAAAAUAAGUCAUGUCAGACUAACCUGAUCUCGUUUUUUGACAGAAUUACAAGCCUGGUAGAUGAAGGGAACGCAGUGGAUGUAGCCUACCUUGAUUUCAGCAAGGCAUUUGACAAGGUGCCCCAUGAUAUUCUUUUAAAGAAGCUGGUAAAAUGCGGUCUUAACUAUGCUACCACUCAGUGGAUUUGGAACUGGCUGACUGACCGAACCCAAAGGGUGCUCAUCAAUGGUUCCUCUUCAUCCUGCAGAAGAGUGACUAGUGGGGUGCCACAGGGUUCUGUCUUGGGCCCGGUCUUAUUCAACAUCUCUAUCAACGACUUGGAUGAUGGACUCAAGGGCAUCCUGAUCAAAUUUGCAGAUGACACCAAACUGGGAGGGGUGGCUAACACCCCAGAGGACAGGAUCACACUUCAAAACGACCUUGACAGAUUAGAGAACUGGGCAAAAACAAACAAGAUGAAUUUUAACAGGGAGAAAUGUAAAGUAUUGCACUUGGGCAAAAAAAUGAGAGGCACAAAUACAAGAUGGGUGACACCUGGCUUGAGAGCAGUACAUGUGAAAAGGAUCUAGGAGUCUUGGUUGACCACAAACUUGACAUGAGCCAACAGUGUGACGCGGCAGCUAAAAAGCCAAUGCAAUUCUGGGCUGCAUCAAUAGGAGUAUAGCAUCUAGAUCAAGGGAAGUAAUAGUGCCACUGUAUUCUGCUCUGGUCAGACCUCACCUGGAGUACCGUGUCCAGUUCUGGGCACCACAGUUCAAGAAGGACACUGACAAACUGGAACGUGUCCAGAGGAGGGCAACCAAAAUGGUCAAAGGCCUGGAAACGAUGCCUUAUGAGGAACGGCUAAGGGAGCUGGGCAUGUUUAGCCUGGAGAAGAGGAAGUUAAGGGGUGAUAUGAUAGCCAUGUUCAAAUAUAUAAAAGGAUGUCACAUAGAGGAGGGAGAAAGGUUGUUUUCUGCUGCUCCAGAGAAGCGGACACGGAGCAAUGGAUCCAAACUACAAGAAAGAAGAUUCCACCUAAACAUUAGGAAGAACUUCCUGACAGUAAGAGCUGUUCGACAGUGGAAUUUGCUGCCAAGGAGUGUGGUGGAGUCUCCUUCUUUGGAGGUCUUUAAGCAGAGGCUUGACAACCAUAUGUCAGGAGUGCUCUGAUGGUGUUUGCUGCUUGGCAGGGGGUUGGACUCGAUGGCCCUUGUGGUCUCUUCCAACUCUAUGAUUCUAUGAUUCUAUGUCUCUUUUGCAUCAGUCUCUACAGCCACAGCAAGCGCUGCAACCUUCCAACAGUUUGACUUCACCCCCAAAGAUGCUCUCCUCCAUUGUCUCCCGAGACAGAUGCCAAUAACCAAGCUAUAAAGUCUGAGCAUUUUGACCAUGUCAGGGCACUGAAAACUGACCUGCUAAUUGAUGUAAGUCUUUUUUAAAAAAACUUGAUUAGAAAAUGAUUAAUUAGCAAUGGACUCCUGCAAGGGGAGAGGUUUUGGCAAUGAGCCUUCUAAUUAACCUCUGGAGCCUUUUGGACAUGGCGUACAACUAUGAAAAGGAUCAUUUAUUUGUGUGUCCUAGGCUGGUCAAUGCCCUUUUAUCAGAUUCCCAAUGGGUACAGGUGAGACGUCGCUCCAGUACUCUGUAGGUGGUACCUUCUAUUUAAUGUGCCGGAAAAUUCCAUGGUAAGGAAUAUUGCAAUGGUAGUGUCAUAUAUCUCUCUGAAAGGAGGACACAUUAAUAUCUUCACUUUGCCUUUCAGUGGAGCCAAAUAACCUGAACUAUUGAGUCAUGUCCUUCAACAGAAUAAAAGCAUCUCACAAAGAACCAAGGUUUGUGCUUUCUACUUUGCAAGAACAACAGUGCUACUAACAACACAGUCAUCUGCUUUCUAAAAAUAUUUAUUUAGAGGGCUGGAUUGCAAACAAAAAAACUUCAGUGUCAUUGACAAACAACAAAGAACUUGCACUGAGAGUUUUAACAUUUAAAAAGACAAAUGGCCAAAUUAAUCUAGUCACUCUCUUUGGGGUAUUGUUUUGUGCAUAGCAGGCACAGUCAAUAAUUUUCAACAUUGUUUGGUUUGUCAUUGGAGCUCUGAAAAAUCUGUAAAAACCCACAAGAUUGCUUCACUUCAUAAUGGCUUCUUUUCUGAUAUUUGACUUUUGAAUUCAUCUAUUUUUUUUUUAAUGAUAUUUAUUGAAAAUUUUUAGAAUUACAAAAGAGAACAAAGCAGAAAAAGAGAAAGAAAAAACAAAGAAAAAACAAACCACAUCAAACAAUACAAAUUCAAAAAACAAAAAUACACCACAAACACUCAAAAACAAAUCCAUCAUUCUCAAAUCCUCAAUUGUCAUUACCUUCUUUCUUUGACCUCCUCCUCCUCCCUUUUUUUUGUAUCCUAGUUGUUAAUUGUCGCAGCAAAUACUUUCCAUAUUUCAUAAUAUUCUGUCAUUACAUUACCUUAAUCUAUUUUAAUCUUAUCUUACUAUAAAAUAACCUUAAAGCUUAAAACUUAAAUCUUAUUUUUACCAACUUCUCAUAACCAUAAUAUUCUUACAUAAUUCUUUAAACAUUUUUGCUAAAGCCAAGUAAUUUCAUUCCAACAUUUUUCUAACAUUCAUCAAUUUUAUAAAACAAUCCUAGUAGUAAAAAAAAAGAAAUAAAAACAAUCCAAUCUUCAUCCAGCGUCCCUGCCUCCUGGUCCCGGGUUUUGUCAGUCCUUAUUAUCCCAUCGAUCUAGCGCAUUAACCUGGUAACCUUGUAUCCGAGGCCCUUAAGUCUCUUCCAUGUCCCUUCCGCAGCUCUUCUUCAAAUUUAUAACUGUAUUUUCCUUUGUCUCCUGCUCCUUUCACUCGUGGGAACUCCACCUUAACAAUGUUUUUGACCCUUCUCGACAAAUCAACCCCUUUUCCAUAGUCCACACUAAACUCCAUGUGGUAUUUAAGAACAUGUUUCAAAAUCCCUCCAAAAUUAAGAGCCCCCACAACCCCAAACAUCUCACGGCCCAUUGCCAGACUUGAAAGGUCCAAACAUCCCUGCAUAGGGGGGUUUAUCCAACCCCCCAUUUCCAAACCAAACCAAACUUUAUCUUUCCAAAUCUGGCUUUUUCCAAGUUCAUUUGUCAAGUCCAAAAGCUCAUGUUCCUGCUGGGCCACAGCUCCCUUCAUCUCUGGCGCCCAAGAUUCAGUAACAUCCUCUUCCCUCAUCUCUUCUGUCAGGGCACACUCCUGAUUUAAUUCCUGGGUGGGCACCAUAUAAUUUCCCACUGCCUGUUCAAAAUUUCUGAUCGCAUCAGUCAUCAAAUCCGUCUUCUCAUGUAGCUGUUCCAGUAGGGCAUUUGUUUUACAGAAAGCACGCAACAGAGCUUCUGAAUACAUUGUCCUGCAAGGUCAAAAGUCUAUUCCCACGAUUGUAAUCUGUAACAGCUGCAAGCUCCCCAGAGUUGGUUACAGUUUCACAGUCUCCCUCUAGGGGGAAAACUUCUAUUUGUUCUUUCUUUUAAAGACAAGUCUAACAACAAAGUUUCCUUUUUCAGAUAUUUUGUCAAUAUUUGUUCCUUUAAAAUGCGAAGGGGAACAAUGGAAUCAAUGUUUCUCUUCUUAUAGCUAUCUGUCAAAAAUGUUUGUCUCUGGUCAAUGAGCUUCAAAAAAGUCAGUCCUUCUGGAGGCGGCGCCAUCAGCAAUGGCGGAAUCCCUCUAGCUCCAAGGGACUUAGCUCCACGGAAAUCGGGUCUUGCCGCUACGGCGAAGCGGCGACCCUUCUGAAACCACAGGCGGGUGAAGCCUGUGACCGUGGGACUCGGCAGGCACCUUCAGCGCUCCCCCAAUCUGCAAAGGAGCCCGGUUACGGGCUCCGGAGCGAAACGGGGAGUCUGGCGCAGUGCUGAGAGUCAAUUGCUUCUUCCGUGGAGUAAAGCCGCACAGCUGUUGCCGGAGAGCGCUGACCUUUUUCCUGUGACAAUUCGGCUAUCAAACAACUACCCGUGAGUAGGUCAAGUUCAAAGAUCGGGGAAUAAGGAAAAAAAGUACUAAUUUGGCACCGAAGCGGGAAGGUGUAAACAGGAAGUCCGCCUUCCUUUCUUGUAAAAAGAUCAAAGCAAAGACUGUCUAAGCUAAGACCUUGAAAUCGCUUUAAAAGGACUUAAAUCCUAACAUCAAUAUAAGAGAACUCCCUCCCUGAGUUGCAGGAGAGGGGAGGGAAAAGGGGGAAGUAUUUUUUGCCUGCAAAAAAAAAAAGAGAGAGAGAGAAAAGGGAACAAAGACCACCACUUAAUGCCUGGGAACGGACUGUCAAGGGACAUAGAAUUGCCGUACUGUGAAUCGCGCUAUUUAUGGACAAUGCAACUUUUUGACAGCUAACUCUGUAAGAGAGAUACUUUGAUUCUGAAGGGUUUCUCCGGACUUGAAACUGUUGCUUACUUCGUUAAAGGGGGGAUUCGGGAAAGUUGGAAAAGAUAUCUUAUUGUAACAAGCUUUGACUGUUACUGUGUCCCCCUAGAGGAACCUUGAAAUUGUUACAACUGGCCAGGGAAUUUUCCACUCUAAACUGGCCAGGGGAAUUUUCCACUACAAAACAAGCUCCGGCCGUGGAAUUGACCUUGAUCCCUAGAUAAAGUGUUAUGGCAAACUUGCCUCAGGAAAAAACAACAAGAUCGGGGAAAAUUAGACUGCAGCAGCGAAGAGCAUCAGCAUCUGGCCCUCCUGCUCCACUAGGAGAAGAUUCUGCUCAAGUUGGAUUAAAAGGAAUGGCUUCUGAAGAGGGUCUAGCUUCAGCAUUAGGAAAAAAUUUUGAAUCAACAACUAAGCAACAACUAAAAUUGAAGCAACAACUAAAAUUGAUCAAAACACUAUAAGCAUUAAUAACUUGGGGCAGAAGGUGAACUCAAACACAGAAUCUAUUGAGAAACUGCUGCAGGAAUCUACUUCGAAUCGAAAGACAGCUGAAGAAGCAAAGGAAAAAGCAUUGGCUGUAGAGGAAAAGAUACCACCAAUAUGUAGGCAACUCGAGGAUCAUAGGUCGUUGCUGUCUAUGAUUGAAUUGAAAGAAAAACAGACAAAUUUAAGGAUCAGGGCUGUACCUGAACUUGAGAAAGAUAGUUUGAGUGAUUUUCUUACGCAGGAAUUUGCAGACUUUUGGAACUUAGACUCAGAUAAGCAAGAUUUCAAGAUAAUAAGCGCUUUUAGACUUGGAAGAGGGGGGAGAAAGAACAGGGUGAGAGACUGUUUGAUUACCCUCCGAACAAAAGAGGAGAGAGACAAAAUAUUGAGUCUGCACUUCCAGAAGACUUUGGAAAUACAUGAAUCAAGAGUGGAGAUAUUCAAGGACAUCCCGAAAUAUCUUUUGGAUCUUAGGUCUAAUUACGGAGAUCUCGUGGCCCUGUUGAGAGGAGAUAGAACUGUUUUCAGGUGGGAAUUCCCCCAAGGCCUAUCUUUUACCUUUAAAGGGAGAAAGUUUAAAAUAAGAUCAGUGGAAGAUAAAGAAAAUUUUUUGAGAGAGCACAGAGAAGACCUGCAAAAAGAAGCUGAAGAAGAGCCAAGAGCAUUAAAACCAGGAAUACAAGACAUAGUACCACCACCUUUGGGAUUGGACAAGCUAGAGAAAGUGAUACCACCGACAGAGCAAGAACAAUUAUUGGGUGCAGUUGGAGGAAAAGCAAAAUAAAUACACCAUGUCUCUGCAGUUAUUAAGUUGGAAUAUUCAUGGUUUUAACUCCCCGGAGAAAAGGAAAAAAGUCUUUCAUCUAUUGAAAAAGGAACAAUUGGACUUGAUUUGUUUACAGGAAACACACGUGAUAAGGCUACAUAGGAAAGUAUUGAUUAAUAAAAGAUUGGUUUCAUCAGACAAAGUCAAAAAGAGAGGAGUUGUAAUUUAAGCAAAAGAGAGCCUAUCACCGAAAUUUAUCUUUAAAGAUGACCAAGGAAGAUUUGUGGCAAUUGAAAUUCAAAUACAAGGAGAGAAAUUUCUGAUAGUAGGAGUAUAUGCACCAAAUGAGGGGAAAUCUGAAUUUUUUAAGAAGUUGCACGAGACAUUGUUGGACUAUAUGGAUUAUAACAUUAUUAUGAUGGGAGAUAUGAAUGGAGUGGUAUCUACAAACAUGGAUAAGUCACAGAGACAGGCAGUCACCAAAGAUGGCAGACUACCAAAACCUUUUUUUGAGAUGACUGACAAUAUGGAUUUGAUUGACAUUUGGAGAACAAAAAAUCCCUUGGGUAGAGAGGGAACUUUCUUCUCUGAAGCCAAAAUGACAUGGACAAGAAUUGACCAAAUCUGGAUAACUAGAGGACUGGCUCCCAAGAUUCGAAAAGCGGAAAUAUGCCCUAAAACUUGCUUCGACCAUAAUGCUGUGAGAAUGGAGAUGAAACUAACACCAACUGGUUCCUUUAGAUGGAGGAUGAAUGACACCUUGUUUAGAGAUGCAGAGGUUAUUAAGAAGGCCCAAAAAACCUUGAGAGACUACUUUGAGAUAAAUAUGAACACUACUAUGGAAAAAAGAGUAAUCUGGGAUGCAAGCAAAGCGGUUAUGAGGGGGUUUCUAAUUCAACAGAAUGCAAUAAAGAAGAGAACUCAAAAUGAGAAAAAAGAUAAAAUUUUGGAGAAAAUAAAAGAGGGAGAGAGGAAAUUGAGAGCGAAACCAAAGUCACAAGAGAUUCUGAGAGAAAUAAAGCUAUAUCAAGUCCAAUAUAUGCAAAUGAUGAACCAGGAAAUAGAAUGGAAAAUCAAACAGAUGAGACAAAGGACAUUUGAAUCGGCUAACAAAUGUGGGAAACUGCUAGCUUGGCAAAUGAAAAAAAGACAAAAACUUAACACUAUUACCAAUUUGGAAGUGGAAGGAAAGAAUAUACAGAAUCCAGUGGAAAUUAGAAAAUGUUUCCAGAGGUAUUUUAAACAGUUAUUUACACAAGGGCCACAGAAAGAAACUGAUAUAAAUCAGUUUUUAAAAACAAAUGGACUACAAAAAAUCUCUCAAGAAAAUAAGUUAAUGUUGAGCUAUAAAAUAACAGAACUGGAGGUGGAAGGUGCCAUCCAGAAUAUGCAGCUGGGCAAAUCUCCAGGGCCGGAUGGCCUAACCUCAAAAUAUUAUAGAUCUUUGAAAGAUUGGAUAAUCCAACCACUAAAGGAGGUCUGUAAUGAAAUUUUGGAGGGGAAAAAGCGCCAGAGUCGUGGAAAGAAGCCUAUAUUACACUUAUACUGAAAAAUGAGUCUGAAAAGACACAACUUAAGAACUACCGCCCCAUAUCCCUGCUUAAUGUGGAUUACAAAAUUUUUGCAGAUAUUUUGGCCAAAAGGCUAAAAAAAGUAUUAGUGGAGGAGAUACAUAAAGAUCAAGCUGGCUUUCUCCCGGGUAGACACUUGUCUGACAACACGAGGAAUAUAAUAAACAUUUUAGAGAUGUUGCAAGUGAACAUUAACACUAAAGCAGUCUUAAUCUUUGUAGAUGCGGAGAAAGCCUUUGAUAAUAUUUCUUGGAGUUUCAUGAAGAAAAAUCUUCAGGGGAUGGGGGUUGGUCAAGGGUUUGAAAAUGGUAUAGGUGCAAUUUACUCAGAACAAAAGGCUAAACUAAUAGUUAAUAAUGUGGUGACAGAGGAAUUUAAGAUAGAGAAAGGGACACGACAAGGCUGCCCAAUUUCCCCAUUGCUCUUUAUUUCGGUUCUGGAGGUUUUGCUAAAUAUGAUUAGAAGGGACCAUCUGAUUAAAGGUAUACAGGUCGGAGCCAAACAGUACAAAUUGAAAGCUUUUGCAGAUGACCUAGUAUUGACGCUACAGGAUCCAGAAUCUAGUACUAAAAGAGUAUUGGAUCUGAUUCAAGAAUUUGGUCAAGUGGCAGGAUUUAAGCUGAAUAAGUUAAAAACUAAGGUUCUUGAGAAAAAUUUAACACCGAUUGAGAAAGAGAGGUUUCAGAAGGAGACAGGGUUAACAUUGGUCAAGAAGGUUAAAUACCUGGGGGUGAACAUGACCGCAAAGAACUUAAAUUUAUUUAAAGACAACUAUGAGAAAUGUUGGUCAGAAGUGAAAAAGGAUCUAGAAAUAUGGUCAAACCUGAAGCUUUCCUUGCUUGGUCGAAUUGCUGUUAUAAAGAUGAAUGUAUUGCCAAGAAUGUUAUUUUUGUUCCAAUUGUUGCAAAUUUUGGACAAAAUGGAUUGUUUCAAGAAGUGGCAGAAAGAUAUUUCUAGAUUUAUCUGGCAGGGCAAGAAGCCCAGAAUAAAAUUUAAAAUAUUAACUGAUGUAAAGGAAAGAGGUGGAUUUGCCCUGCCAGAUCUUAAACUCUAUUAUGAAUCAGCAGCAUUUUGCUGGCUGAAAGAAUGGCUGCUUCUUGAGAACACAGACAUUUUGGAUUUAGAAGGUUUUAACAAUGUUUUUGGGUGGCAUGCAUAUUUGUGGUAUGACAAGGUUAAAGCACACAAAGCAUUUAAAAACCAUAUUGUCAGGAAAGCAUUGUUUAAUGUCUGGAUAAGAUACAAAGAUUUAUUUGAAAAUAAAACCCCAAGGUGGUUAUCACCGAUGGAAGCGAAGGCUCAGAAAAAAACUCAAUAUGGAGGCCAAAUGGCCGAAAUAUUGGGAGAUUUUGGAACAAGAAGAUGACAAAUUGAAAUUGCAGAGUUUUGAGAAAUUAAAAGAUAAAGUGCGAGACUGGCUUCAUUAUUAUCAAAUAAGGGAGGCGUACAAUAUGGAUAAAAAAAUUGGCUUCCAGGUGGAAUAAUCAAAAUUGGAAACAGAACUGUUAGAACCCAAAACUAAGAUACUAUCAAGAAUGUAUAACUUGCUGUUGAAAUGGAAUACGCAGGAUGAAACGGUUAAAUCUGCUAUGAUUAAAUGGACACAAGAUGUUGGACAUGACAUAAUGUUUGCUGACUGGGAACAGUUGUGGACCACAGGUAUGAAAUUCACGGCAUGUAAUGCCUUAAGAGAGAAUAUUAUGAAAAUGAUAUACAGGUGGUACAUGACACCAGUCAAGCUUGCAAAAAUUUAUCAUUUGUCUGAUAAUAAAUGUUGGAAAUGUAAAGGGAAUGAAGGUACAUUCUUUCACCUUUGGUGGACGUGCCCAAGGAUUAAGGCUUUCUGGGAGAUGAUCUAUAAUGAAAUGAAAAAGGUAUUUAAAUAUACCUUUCUGAAGAAACCAGAGGCCUUUCUCCUGGGCAUGAUCGGCCAAUUGGUGCCAAAGAAGGAUAGAACUUUCUUUAUGUACGCUACAACAGCAGCAAGAAUACUCAUUGCAAAGUAUUGGAAGACACAAGAUUUACCCACUCUGGAAGAAUGGCAGAUGAAAGUGAUGGACUAUAUGGAACUGGCGGAAAUGACUGGCAGAAUCCGAGACCAGGGAGAAAAGUCGGUGGAAGAAGAUUGGAAGAAAUUUAAAGACUAUUUGCAGAAACAUUGUAAAAUUAAUGAAUGUUAAAAUGAUGUCGGAUUGAAAUUAAGCGGCCUUAGCAACAAGGUUAAUAAGAAUAUGUAAAAAUGGAUUGAUAACGGAUGAAAAUACAAAGUUAUAAUAUGUUGAGAUAUGGAAUUAAGAUAAAAACAAAGAGGGUAAGGAUUUGCUGGAUUAACCAUGUGAACGGGAAUACAAAAAAGGGAGGUGUGAGGAGGUCGGGGAAAUAAGUAAAUGAAAUCUAAGAUAUGAAAAGAUUGAUUUGUUUUUAACUAUUUUUUAUUUAUUCUUUCUGUAGUUUGUAUAUUUUUUUUCUAUGUAUUUUUGUACUCUUUGUAUUUUUCCUUUUUCCUUUUUUUUACUCUGUAACUUUUUUUUUCUUUUUGUAAAACUUUAAUAAAUAUCUUUUUUUUAAAAAACAACACAAAAAACGUCAGUCCUGACACCCCGCUCCAGGAUCAGGACGGUGGAAAGUUACUUUACUUUACACUCACUUCUGCAGGUUUAAACAGUCCGAAAAAAUCCCCCCUCUUCUCCUGCUUCCAAAGGGGGGUUCAACAAUUUUAAAUGAUGAAAGUUAAUCUUUUACAAGCGAUUUUCUGAGCUCUAGUUUGCAAUGUCUUUGCUUUAAUCUAUCUACCAAGAAACGGAAGGCUGACUUCCUGUUUAGACCUUCCCGUUUCAGUGCCAAAUUGAGGUAAACUUUUAAGUCCAAUUUUCCUUUCUGCUCGCAAGUCCUUAUUUAAAGUCCAAUUGUCCGAAAUUUAAGUACUCAUGGGUGAUUAUUUUAGAAGCCAAAUUGUCCCAGGAAAAAGGCAGCGCUCUCCGGCAACGGCUGUGCGGCUUUGCUUCACGGAAGAAGCAGUUGACUCUCAGCACCGCGCCACUUCCCCCUCUUCGCUCCGGAGCCCGUUAGUGGGUUCUUUUGCGGGUUGGGGGGGGCGCUAAAGGUGCCCGCCGAGUCCCAUGGUCACAGGCUUCAUCCGCCUGUGAUUUUUGAAAGGGUCCCUGCUUCGCCGUAGCGGAAAAGACCCAUUUCGCGUGGAGCUAGUCCCUCCAGAUCAGAGUGAGUCCGCCAUUGCCGAUGGCGCCACCCUGGAAGUCCGACUUUUGAAUUCAUCUAAGCUAUUCAUCUGGGCAGGACAUUCUUUCAAAGCUCAGGUUUCAGCAUAUAAAUAAAGGGUUUCAUGAAAUACAAUGUUUGUAUGAAGGCAUUCCUUAAAAUAGCAUUGCAUUGCACCAAGGAAAAAUGGUUUUAGAAAGAUGUGAAUGAGGAUGUGAGUAAUAAGGUUUGAUGUUUUCUUGUAAGUGUUCACCCCACCCCAUCCCCUUAAAGAUGAUGUUUGGCUAUCUUUUAGAAGAGAUAUGUCUGAGUCAAUGAUAGCUUUAUUCAUCCAGAGUUUCAAUUAUAUGUGAAUGUCCUGUGUAGUGCUGCUCUUGAACAUCUCUUAAUCCUGGUCAUGAUCAAAAGGAACACACACCAUCAAAAAUGUUUUUGAGAGUAUUCCACUCAGUGAGAAAUUCGGAUUAUUUUUUUUCAAAUUUCCAAGAACCUGGGGAUUUGUGUGUGAGACACUUUUCGAAGGGCAUCAGCACAAUUGUUUGGAACUAGAGUUCAGAUAGAUCUUUCCUUCAUUCACUCUUCAACUAGAAAGGCUCCCGCAAUGGUUUACAGAUCAAUAAAAAUACCCUUGGGGAGUUUUCCAUUUAGCACCACACUAGAUGUGAUAUUAAAUGUGUAUAAGCAUUUAAUGUGAGCUAUUUUUGUUUUUUACUUAGCAGCUGCCAUGGAGGGGGACCAUCAGGACUCAAACUCAGGGGCAGGAGGGCUUUAACAUUUGCCUACACUAGGGUCUGAUGCCAUUAGCUCUGGGAGGGAACCCUAUGCUAGAAACUUCCAUCCAGCAUGCUUGCAAAAAUUGGCUGCUGAGUUCCUGGCACCCUUGCAUUAUUUCUUUAGCUGCUACCUACAGGUUGUGAUACCUUCCUAAAUUAUCUUUAUAAGCAUCUAGGUGAAAGAGGAAACCUCCCUAGAAGAUGGCUUGAAUAACUCCCCCCCCUUUUUUUUACCUCUCCCCAAACAUACUGCAUCCUGACCAAAUUCUGCCAACUCUGCAUGGCAUAAUUAAUUUAAUUUAAAUCCCAGCUUUUCAUCUAGCAAAGGAAUACAUGAAGAAGCAUAUUCUACCCAUUUUUAUAACUGUAAAUAUAAGCAUAAAGCUAGACAAAUUCAGAGUGAAAGCUUUGCUCAAGUCACUCCAGCUUGACUAGACUUUCAGCUAUAUAACAAGGAAAUGCUCAGAGUUGGAUACUACAAGGCUCCUCUUCCAGGAAGACUGGCGUUCUGAGAAGCAAAACAAUUCUGAGGGAUGGAGGGAGCAUCCAGACUGCCCAAGCAUUCAUAAUAAUUUGUUCACAUGGAGGUUCUAUGAUAUUGCCAGCUAGUGGUUGUUACCCUGCUCUUUCCAGUGCAGUUUUUUAAUCAAACUUACUGCAGUUAGAAAAGUGAUGGGCUGGUGCAAGCUGGAAUGUGUGCAGAGGAGGGAAACCAAGAUGAUCAAGGGUCUGGAAACCAAGCCUUACAAGAAGCGCUUGAAGGGGCUGGGUAUGUUUAGCCUGGAGAAGAGGAGACUGAGAUAUGAUAGCCAUCUUCAGAUAUAUUAAGGGCUGUCACAUGGAAGAGGGAGCGUGCUUGUUUUCUCCUGCUCUGAAGGAUAGGACUCGAGGCAAUGGCUUCAAGUUACAAGAAAGGAGAUUCCGACUGAACAUUCGAAAACACUUUCUGACAGUAAGAGCUUUUCGGCAGUGGAACAGACUCCCACAAGAAGUGGUGGGCUCUCCUUCUUUUGAGAUUUUUAAGCAGAAGUUGAAUGGUCAUCUGUCAUGGAUGCUUUAGCUGAGUAUCCUAUAUUGUAGGGGGUUGGACUAGAUGACCCCUGGGUUCCUUCCAACUCUAUGAUUCUAUGAUUCUAAUUUCUAACUAUGUUGUUUCCAAAGUUUCUGAAGUUUGAGCUGGUGAGAAGUGGUCAGCAAUUCACAAUAGGCACACAGAGAGAUUGAAAAUGUAAGUAGCUGAAACGUAGAAGCAUUGGAUAAAUUACUGCAAUCAACACAGGCUUUCAUGAAUCAAAUACAAUGGAUAAAUACAACUGUUUUAUAACAAUUUGUUGACCCAUACGAAUGAAAUGAGUUUCUUCUUUUGUCUCUUCCCCAUUGAUGUUUGUUAAAUAUAAAGAGAACCUGGUAAAGCAUUCACAAGGCUAUCAGAAAAGAAAGCACAAUUGCCAAUAAGAAAUGUGAUUAGAUUGCAUGCCGUAUCCAACUGAUUGAUUGUUAAAUAAAUGCACAGCAAUUCCACCAAUCUUUGAUUUGUUUAAUAUAUGUUGUGUCUUCAGCAGAUAUUUAUGCUCUGGUAGUCUUAAGGCUGGGCAUGAACUAUUGAAAACAACUACUGAAUGCAAAACUGCAUCAAUAGCAAAAAGAACUGUUUCAUUGUUGACAGUUUUGUGUUGCACAGAGUAGGAUAUUGAAACUUUUCAUAAAAGUAAGGCAAUGGAUAUAGAUGUGAAUCUGCUGUUUCUUGAAAGGGGCCUAUUCAUGCUGCUAGAUAUUAACCAAACCAAAGCCAAAAUCCUAUGUAGAGAGGUUUGCAUUAAGUUUGCUCAAGAGGUUUGUCUUUAGAAAAUGUGGCUCAGAGAGUGUUCAAGGCUAAUGGAUGACUUAUCCUGGAAACCCAAGCAGUGAUCUCUCAUGGCAGGAAGAUGAAACCUGAGAACUCAGCAUCUUAGUUAGUCGUUGGUGCCAGCAGCAUUAUAAACUCCAGGUGAGCAAUCUUAAACAAGCAAGAUGCUUGCAUAGGAUCUCUCUCUGGGAGCAGAGAGAGGAAAGUUACCGAACUACAUUAAGGAUUUAAAGAAUGCAGAAUCACAUUUGUUUGCUUGUUUAAAAGCAAUGUAUUAUUUUUUAUUUUGCAACAUUUAAUUGUAACUGUUUUAAGACUGUUUCCAGUAAAGUUUUGCAGUUGUUUGUUGUGAUGGAGAACAUUCAUUUCUGCUCUGCAGAAAGUGCAGACCAGGGAUUCUGCUUGCAACAACUCUAACAGUGCAUGUGUAAUAGAAAACCAAAGAAAAGUGUUUGCGUGCAUAUUUGCUAAGAUAUUCACUACUGCAGUAUUAAAUGUGCAUAUUUUGCUUGUGCAUGCGUUCAGUAAAUAUCCCCAUAUUAAGACCUGUGUGACUAAGUUACCAGAUUAAUCUCCCAAUAUGUGCCGUCAUCACUAGAGAUUCUAAUUCACGAGACUCUUAAAAUGUGUGAAAACCCAUCUACCAAAGAAGCUCGCUCACACCGGUUAAACGUGUACAAGACUGCAGCUCAACUUUUAUUAUUCCAGACAAAAUAGAACCAAAGAAUUCUAGAGUUUGAAGGGACUACAAGGGUCAUCUAGUCUAACCCCCUACAGUGCAGGAAUCUUUCUCACCAACAUGGGAAUUGAUCUCCUGGCCUGAGAUUAAGAGUCUCAGGCUCUACCGACUGAGCCAUCCCCUGCCUUCCAUGAUGCCUCUUUCCUUUAAACAUGUACAGAAAAAUCCCCUCUGAAAUGAAACAUCUAAUGGACUAAAUGCCUGACAUACAGAGACAGCAGCACAGGGGAUCUACCGCUAGUUUAUGAGCACCAGGCUCAUGAAAACCGUAGCUCCAAAAAGGGUGAAGUAGCAGCCAUUAUUGUUACCUUGACCUUGUUUAUCUCCUUUGACCUCAGCAGCAUCCUUUGUCUUUUGAAAAGUACAUUACUUAGCACCAUGACACAUUGGCCUAAAUACAGCUCUCACAUGAAUACGCAGGAGACCUUUUGCUGGCAAGCGACAGAAGUGUGGAAGCAGUAGAUAACUUCCCCUCAGUUUAUUAGGAAGAGGUCAAACCUUAAUUGCUACUUCCAGUGCUGUGUUAAUGUAAUGUAUAGGACUGCACUGCUAGCCAUUCUUAAAGGCCUUCCUGGCAUCUGAGAACUAUGACUGCACAGAGCCAAGAAUCGAAGGAGGCCAACAUAUGGCUUUAGCAUCAGCUCCAUUCUCCUCAGCUUCCGAAUUGUUACUUUGUUUCUAUGAUAAAUAAUUCAUCCCAAUAAAGAUAGAACUGCCAAGGGCCUUAUCUGGCAUUCCCAUCGUAUGGAGCAAAGUGGUCUCAGAGUACAUCAAUGAGGCAAAUAAUUGAAGUGGAGGGAAUUUAAGUACCAUACUUAUUCUGAGCACCAGCAAAAAUUCUGCUUUGGGAACUUACAAUAAUUGCAGUUAGAAGAGCAUGAAGUCCUUGGUUGACUAUCCAGUACUACUGGUUUCUAUGGGAAUUGAAUGCAGAGUAAUUGUUAUUACUUAGUAGCCAUUCAGUUACACCAUUGAUCCUGAAAGAACAUAAUUUUUCAUCAAAAAACCCCUUAAGCUCUUAAGAUGCCUAGCCUUUUUGUUCUUCUCCAGCCCGUUCUUAAAAGGUUCUUUUAAAUAAAGCUCAUUUUUGAAAAUGUGCCACAAACAUGAGCUUAAGAACUUUUAAAAAUUUGACCUGGUAAUGAACAUGGGACUUUUAAUUUUGUCAGAAAAAUUACAGAAACCUGUCUCAGAUGAAGUACAAAACAGAUCCCUUUCUUUGUGUAAAUAUUUACAGCUUUAUACGUUUAAUUCAUAGGAAAGCACCAAUACUGCAUCAGUCGUUUAGAGUAGUGGUCCCCAACUGGUGGUCUGCGGACUGCAGGGGUCUAUGUAACCCACCCAGGGGGGUUGUGGCACCAGUUACAUAACAAAAACUACCACAGAGAUACCAACCUUUCCAAAAGUAGGAGGUCCAUGGCUUGGCUUUUGAAAAGCAGGGGGUCUGCAGUACUUACCUAAUCGGGAGCAGCUGCUCUAGAGGAUGUGAUUGACACAUCACAAUGAGGGUCCUAUUUUGGAUGUCAUGUGUGUCAGAGCUGUGGGCGUCUCUCCUCACCACAGAUGCCACGGGAGCCUCUUGACGUUUUUAUAGUCUUUAUUUACAAUAUUUACAAUGGAUCAUUAGCACAUCGUUCAUCCAUCAGAGUCACUCAGUUCAGAUCUCUGCUGAGGCCUGCGUUUGCCUCUCCAACAGCUCAUAAAAUGGUGAAGUUUCCCGCUCCAUCCUCCUCUUUACCACACACCUCUCGAGGCGGCCGUAAACCUCCCCCCAGAUUCUGAGCCUGAGCUUAACCCCUGUGAACUUUCCGUCUCCCCAGCCCUUCUGGGCUUAUUCCAAUCUCUCUCUCUUUGUUGCCUCCCUCCCCCUCGGGCACCUCGUCCACAUCUUCCGCUCCCAGGCUUCCCCCUCCCUCUGGGGAACAUGAGACUCUGGUUCAUCCCUGACAAUGUGCCUGUUUUCGUUGGGUAGGAAUUCAACAUAGUUCUAAGUGGGGUAUGCGUGCCAGGUCUGCUUGAGCAAUGGGACUUCCUCCACCUCCUUCUCCCAUGAGUCCCCACACAGUCCCUAAACCUAUUAUGGGGCUUUCCCCAAUCCCUAGGAGCAAAUUUAGAGGGCACAAGUAGCACAUGGGAGGAAGGGAUAGAGGAAAAUCCUGCCGUGCAAGCGAAAGAAUGGUUUUUAAAAAUUGUAGAAAUUUCCAGCAUAACCGUAGUUUGAAAAAGGAAUGUGUUUUGUUUAAUAAUGGUGUCAGCAACAUGGUGCCCUUGAAAAUGUCCUCUGAUUUGUGCUGUGCAGUCUAUCAAUGUAAGCUUUAAUUUCUGCGUAAAAUAAUGCUAGUUAGAGGUUCUAUUUUGACACUACUGGCUUUUACUCAGACCUAGAGUUGGGGAAGAAAUUUGAUUCAGUUCACACUUUGAGGUCAUUAUACUCAAAUCUCACUUUCAGAAAUGGUAGGCAAUCCAAAACACAUCCUACCUUCAAAAUGAGUCUUUCUCUGAAUUUUGCAAUGCAGUUCUCCAGCCAAAAUGUACAAAAAUGUCUAUAGAUACUGUGGUAAAGUAUCCAUAUAAAUGCACAUAUUGGUGGAAAUAACAUACCAAAAUGCAUUAUUUAUGAGGAAAUUGCCUUGCAAAGAUGUGUACAUUAAGCAAAAUAUAAUACAGCAUAUGCAGAUUAGGAGAAAUUCACAUUAAAAUGGUGAAUUUUCAUGAGGGAUUCUUAUUUUUAGGUGCAAAGUAAUGCGGAAAUGUGGAGAACUGAAUCUAAGAUUAGAAAAAUGAGCAACUGAAAAGAAUGUCUCUUUCUGUCUAUUGUGGGGAUGAUGGGAAGGAGGGAAGCAACCCAAUGGCAGUUUCUCAAAUUUCCAAAUGUACCCAAGGCACCCUCCCCCAAGUUUGAUGAUCCUUGGUUUAAUCCAUGAUUCAUGAGGCCCAUAAUAAUUUUAGUAUGUGUGUUUGUGUGUGUAUUUCUUUCGAUUUUUGCUUAAAACUCUGUAGACCAUGGCAAAUUUUAAUCCUUACCCCCCCCCCAAACAAAUAAACCAUUAAAUAUUCAUUAACUGGAGCACUUAAUUUCUCCUGUCUCAUUAUAGAAAAAGAGAAAAACAAGCAACUGAUUUCUCUGAGGAAAUUCAAGUAAACAUUAUUUUAAUGUAUGGAUGACAAUGAAAUGGGGUAUGUAAAAUUAGAAAGACGAGCAAUUAAAUCCGAGAGCAAACUUAAUGAAUGUUUGGUAGUGGCCAGACAUUGUCUCUGAGUGCCAAGAUAAAACCAGAUGAAAUUUUGCUAGAUUAGAUGUUGUUUGCAACAUUGGAGUUGUUGGAUUCCAACACAGCAACCAGCAAGUAACAUCCUUGAAAACUGACCUUUUAAGUAACCUGACUAGUGAUGUCAUGAGAAAUCAAGUCGUGUCUGUGAGUAGAAUCAGGACAAGAAGCAUAGCCCAUGUUGAUCAGACUGCCCUCUGUGCCCUUGAUUUUGCUCCUAUAUGCUUCAACACUUGAUGUGCCAGUCCUUGGUCACACACUGACAGAAUACCUCAGACAUUUGCCUGAACUGGGCUAGCGAAGGCACACAGUGGCAGUGCAGAUUGGUUGUUUGCAGCUAGCUAGUAUACAUUCUCUGUCUGCCUCACAGUAGAUUAUUGUUCUUCCUUGGUGACAGAAAACAAAAUACAUUUCCUGAGGCUGUUCUUUUACUGACAGGCACUUGCUUGCGCUAUGUGCAGACACUUGAGCUUCUGACUGAGAAUGCAAGAUGUAGAUUUAUAGGAUGUGUAAAAGAGAGAAGGUUUCGGCUGGAUUCCAGCUUCACUGUGAACAUUAUUUUUUAUUGUUGUUAUAAAAGGAAUAUUAUAAAAUGUUAGCAACAUGAGGACCUAUGCUGUUUUGAUGGAAGUAACAUUGACUGGAAAAGUAGAUGUGACAUCCCUAAACCUUUUGGAAGAGGAGAUUUCAAGGGUACCAUUUGGGCUGGGUUUUAUUUUAAUCGCUGCUUCUUCUCUGUGCUGCACCAUUUCAUUUUCCCCUUUCAGCUUGACCUAGUUGACAUCUGCAGCAGACACUUUAUCAAAGACCAGAUCACAAGAGACACACAAAAUGGUGCCAGAAAGUCUGAGCCAAUAUCACAUCUUUCUCUGUGGCAACACAGAUGGAAGGCCUGGCAUAAGUUCAUAUGAAACAGAGGGUCUGAAACACUCUAUGGGAAAUUUGCCAGAGUCUCAAUCUUGUGUUGGACAGUGCAGUAAAUGUUCUCAGAGUUUAGUGUUUAUGUGCCCUGACAUAUUGCUCAUCUGACAAGCAUCCCUGCAUAAAGCCUACAGGUUUCAGAAUAUGUUAGUCUCUGGAACCUAAAUAUUGCAUUCAUUACCAUAAUCAUGAUGCAAUUCAUACAUUUUGGAACCCAAAUAUCAUUACUAUUACCAUAAUCAUUGGUAAUUCCUACAUAAACCUGCUUUAAAACAGCCAUAUGCUAACAGUUCCGUAUUCCAAAAUUGUGGAGGCUAGUUAUGGCCCUCUCGGGAAGCAGACGGAGGUGAGGCAUACAGUGCCAGAUCUGUAUUUUUUGCUGAAGGGGGCAUAAUUCAGCACUGCCACCCCACUCUCCCUGACUGUGAACUAUGAAAGAUGAAUUCUUUAAAGUGCUAACUGGUGCCUUUCAAAGUUCCUCCAAAUACUAAUUGCCACCCCACCCCCUAAGUACUGACAAAACAUCUUCUGGAAGCACCUUGCCUCAAGGUAGAUGUAUGGAUGGUGGAUUUUUCCCUUAAAUGCAAUGACAUGGUUAAAAUCACAUCUAGCUUGGCCUUUCAAUGAGGGCUGAACUCAUCAAUGAUCCAGUUCAGUAAAAGGCUUCAUAAAAUAAGUUUAUACUCUGGAUAUACUUUGAAACAGUCUUAUUAUACCACAUGUUCCAUGCUGAUCCCUGGCAUGGAAACCAGCCCUGGUAAGACUUAGCUCAAAUUAAGUUCUGGUCUGUGUGUGUGUGUGUGUGAUAGAGAAGCCUUCACCCACCUGGUGUCCUUGGAAUCUUUUGGACCACAAAUCCCAUCAGCCCCAUCCACCACAAUGGAGCUAGAGUUGGAUCUGUCAUCCGAAACAUCCAGAGGACACCAAGUUGAUGAAAGCUGUGAUAGAGGGUGGUUUUCUUUUUCAAUUAAAACUGGCAAAAUUAUAUAUAGGCCUAGUCCUGAGGGAAUCAGGGGUGGGAGGGAGAUGGGUUAAGUAGAAAUGUACAGUGUAAGUCUUAUUUUCUCUGUGUGUAGCCCUCUCCAACAUGCAAAGAGGCACACAUGAAAAGGAGAUCACAUUUACUUUAAGCACUGCACAUCUUUAAAUAUGGAACAAAAAUGUCCAGUGGUGCUUUAAGUGGAAUUGUGUUACCAAAGCCAGAUGUGGUAUACAUCUUUCCCUAAAAGAGAGGGUAGAAAUGGCCUAAAGGGUAUGUGCAAGGAGUCAAGGUCAUCCCACAUCCCAGUAAUGAUACUUAAUCGAUAGAAACAGGGAGAUUUUCUUAAUGGUUAACAGCUUGAUAUAUUUCUCCUUUUCCGGCAACCCAAAGUAACCCAUACUCUUAAUCAUGUCCCAAAGAUGCCUAAGGGGGGAGUUGGUCUUUUGCAGGGGGGAAGCACUUUUCAAAGUACCAAAUGCUUGAGAAUGGAAGAAAUUGUUUCAGAGUCAUUAUCAAUAGCUCACUCUCAAAAAGUUCAUUUAGUGACCAUUGCAGAGAGAAGCUCACGGGGGCAGCUGUGUCCGGCAUGACCUAAUGCUUUUUGAGAUAAGUACAGCUAUUGGAAACCAAUCAGAAACACAUCAGAGGGUAAUUACGGUGCAUUGCUGGCACCUGAUAUAAUGUGUUUUCAAGGCAAUAGAGCUUAACAAAAGGGACAACUAUAUUCUGCACUGAUAUGUUGAUCAAGAUUUUAAGGUAAAAGUAUGAAGGUGUCUUAAGCCUGAUCUUACUUUAUCUUAUGUGUGUGUGUGUGUGUGUGUGUAGGAUCGAGUAUGUGUGUACAGGAUGGAGUGUGCAUGCAUUUCCUUUAUUCUGUUAAAUAAUGCACCUUUAUGUAACUAUCUCCAGAACACCUAGAAGCCAGUGCAUCAGAUUUGUUAUGCUGCCAGUCGCCACCGUUGCACAACUGGGUCUGCAUCACAUUUGGCAUCUUGAUAUUGAGGAAAUAUGGUGUGUGAUAAUGACAGAAGGGAAGAUUCUCAUAUAUUGGUACGCUAAAGAUUUCUCACCUACAUUGGCUCAACCUGGGACUGGAAAAGCAUCAAAGGCAAUAGCAGCUUGGACUUUCUGAUUGGCUAUCAUUGUCAUGUGGCACAGGAAGCCAGUAUGCAGGUCAUUGCAAUCAUGAUUGAUGGGGAACAGAACCUUUGGCACAGUCACUUUGGAAGUCCUAGCGGGGGAGUUCCUGGUGAUUAUGUACCAGGAAUAGGAGUGCAAGCACAAGUGGUUGCCUCGCAACCACAUCCACUAUGCUGCUUAUGCUUUUCACCCUCUGAAACUGGCAAAAGGGCUGGAUCCCUCAUAUUCACUGAAAUAAUUUGAGGACCACCUUUUAAAAGUACAUAUUUUGGAGGUGAAAGUGAAAAGAGAGUGUGUGGGUGUUCUGGAGUAGGUGCGCAUCAGCAAAGAUGACUCAAAGCUCUUGGCAGUAUGCGAGCACCAAGUACCCAAACUGAUGUCCAGGAAUUAAGGGACUUGUUCCAUUCCACUAUUGAACUCCUGAUAUCCUGCUGUACAUUCUGCAAAAAAAUCUGUUAAACAGACUUUGAUCUUAAGAUCAAUCUCCGAGGUCAACAUGCAGCAUUAUAGAUUCUUUCUAUACAUUUGCCAAAGGUUGUGCAUUUUUGUGUUUUCUUACGUUUUGAUGAAUUGUAUUUCGUUCCCCUGUUUUAAUUGGAUUCCCACAAAAAAACACACCAUAAGGGUUGUUUUUGCAUCAUGCUGUACACAUGUUUGUUCAAGUGGUUGCACACAUGGUCCACUGAAACAUCACACAUGGACUGAACUGCUCAAGAAUAUAGAUCACAGUUUGGUUGUACAGAUGCCCAUGUGUCCCUGUGCAGGAUUGGGUGUUGUAUUGUGUUCUACAAUUUGUCCUAGACUGCAAUUCCAAAUGAAUUUACUAGAGUGUAACAAAAUGGGACUUCAGAGUAAACCGUGAAUUGUGCAGCUAGAGAAGGCUCUGUAAGGCUGUAACAACUGGACUGCAAUAUAUACACUCACAUGGAAGGGAUUAUAUUUUGUUGUUGUGUAGUCGUUUAGUUGUGUCCGACUCUUCCUGACCCCAUGGACCAGAGCACGCCAGGCACUCCUGUCUUCCACUGCCUCCUGCAGUUUGGUCAAACUCAUGCUGGUAGGUUCAAGAACACUAUCCAACCAUCUCAUCCUCUGUCGUUCCCAUCUCCUUGUGCCCUCCAUAUUUCCCAACAUCAGGUUCUUUUCCAGGGAGUCUUCUCUUCUCAUGAGGUGGCCAAAGUAUUGGAGUUUCCGCUUAAGGAUCUGUCCUUCCAGUGAGCACUCAGGGCUAAUUUCCUUAAGAAUGGAUACGUUUGAUCUUCUUGCAGUCCAUGGGACUCUUAAGAGUCUCAUCCAGCACCAUAAUUCAAAAGCAUCAAUUCUUCGGCAAUCAGCCUUCUUUAUGGUCCAGCUCUCACUUCCAUACAUCACUACUGAGAAAACCAUAGCUUUAACUAUACGGACCUUUGUUAGCAAGGUGAUGUCUCUGCUUUUUAAGAUGCUGUCUAGGUUUGUCAUUGCUUUUUUCCCAAGAAGCAGUCGUCUUUUAAUUUUGUGGUUGCUGUCACCAUCUGCAGUGAUCAUGGAGCCCAAGAAGGUAAAAUCUCUCACUGCCUCCAUUUCUUCCCCUUCUGUUUGCCUGGAGGUGAUGGGACCAGUGGCCAUGAGCUUCGUUUUUUUGAUGUUGAGCUUCAAACCAUAUUUUUCGCUCUCCUCUUUCACCCUCAUUAAAAGGUUAUAUACAUACAUGCAAACAUUCUUUUCAAUAGGAGUCACACUGUACCAUGCUGGAAGCUGUUUUUGAGACUUGUAGAGGAGCAGCUUAGAAUGUGGUGCAAAGAAAUAUUAGCGCCCAAAAUGAAAGUCGUUGGGAAAGUAUGCUCAUUUCCAACUAUUAAGGUUAGUGUUAGUUCAAGGUUCAUUUCCAGAUGAUUUCCGUUGCUUCAAAGUUAAAUGCAGAAAAGACCUUUUAAAUCAACCAGGCCAUCUGCCUCCCAAAGCAGAUAUUCCCUAAUGUAAAAUUACACUUUGUCCAGUGCAUGUUUCAUUGUCCUGAGUGAUGACACUUUUACUUCCUCCUCUGGAAGAUGCUCACACAAAUGCUUAAUAGAACACAAGGUCACUACAUUUGGAUUUGUGGCCUUCGUUUUCAUUUUCUUAAUAUUAUCAAAUUACUCCAGUGAUAUACUGAGGACCAGAAGACUCAUUCUAACACACACACACACCCCUAAAACCCCCCACAGUCCUUUGGCCGUUUUUGACUAGAAUACUAGUGCUGUCAUCAGCGUACUUCUGGUGAGUUACCAUAUUGACAACGCCAGGGCUCUUUAACAGCCCAAAUUCUGUAUCUGCAUAGGCAGCACUAUAACCCAUUUCCUCCUGCCAUCCAAAUAUGGGGGACAUGUCCUUAGUCCUAUGAUUGACUGGGACUAGUAUAUGAGCCAAAACAGGUGAGAAAUCCACAUGGCUUUCUUUCUGUGAUUAGCACAGUAGUGUUUUAGGAGUAAAGGUGGUUCACUUUUCUCAAAGACAUGUACAAUACUCUAAUUUGUAGUCAGCAGCCAACACUCAGCUUUUGGGGACCUAAAUCAGCCUGCUAGAGAUGGGGAAGAGAUUUGAAGUCAAAUCUAUCAAAUGCACACUUUUUGAAAUAAUGUGAGAACCAAAGUGUAGCCAUUCUUCAAAAUCCAGACAUCCAAAUUUUGUGGUGCAGUUCUUCAACCAGACAAUGUUUACAAAAAUGUAUUAUAUUAGAAAAAAAUUGCUUGCAAAAAUAUGUACUUUAGUUGAAAAUGUGUUUAUUAGGAGAAAAUGCUUCAGAUUUUCAUGAGGAUUUUUUUUUUUAACCAAUACUAGAUAGCUCAGUUGGUUAGAGUUUGGUGCUGAUAAUGCCAAAGCCACAGGUUCAGUCACCAUACGGGACAGCUGCAUAUUUCUGCAGGAGGUUGAACUAGAUGGUCCUAAUAGAUUCUAUGAAUCACAACUUGCUUCAGAAAGGUGCAGAACUGAAUUUAAGAUUCUUGGAAAAACUAGAAACUGAGAGAACUAGAACUGGCAGACCCAUCCCUAAUUCUUCUUUUAAAUCCUGUUCCUUCAUGUCAGUUGAGUGACUGCAUUGAUCAAUAUGUCAAAGUUGACAGCACUUACCAUCUGUUUGGUGGGAGAAUCCUGGCUCAUCCUGCUAUUAUGCAAGAAUAUCUCUAGAUCAGCAUCUGAGUCCAUCCACAUUUUCUGGCUCUGUACUGUGUGAUCCACAGGUCAGGAAACUCAGUUAUAGUAAAACACAGUUGUAUUUUCCACUUUAGUAUCAAUGGUCAACUAUGAAUUCAAGUUCUUGCCAAUAUAAUUCAUUAUUUCCUCUUCUAGAGUUAUUAUUGCCUUAAAUUACUUCAAGGUUCAUCUUCAAAAUGUGAAGUGUUGCUUUUCUUAAUGCUUCAUCUCUGUUCUAGAAAUCUAUAAGGAUUAACAUGAAUAUUUCCAUUGUAGUGAAAUAAGUUUAUGACAACAGAAGUGCCAUCCUUAUUCAAACAAGGUAGAGGAGGUUAGCUAUGUUCUGAAUUAUUCUCAUUAUCUUAAUUUUUACUUGAUUAUUCAUUAGGUAGUUGUACUUCUUCAAAAGACAAGGAAGAAAUGUAAUGGUACUUUUGAUUUUAUUAUAUAAAUGAUUGCAGAGAUCUGCUUCUAUUGACACCAGAAGGAACACAGAAAUCCUCCUCCUUUCUAGUCAUGCAUACAAUUUAUCACUUUUAAAUGUCACCACAUACUGUAUAUAAAACACAUUCUCUUUGUGAGACUGUAAAUGUAUAUGUGGAGGAACUGUAACAUUUCAAAAAUGUUUUGCAGCUGGGUUUUUGCUGAAGUCAGUAAAAUCAUAUGAUUUUUAACACUAAGUUUCCUUGCUUUGAAAUUUUGACGGGGGAUCUUAGUGACUUGGCCACAAAUAUUUAGUAGGGGUCGUAAUGUUCUUUGCAAUAAUGGAACUUGCACUUGAGCUGAGCCCUGUUCACUUGCUUGUGCUCAUUCACAAGCUCUGCAAUUUGAUCAGGUUCAUGCAAGUGUUGGUAAUAGCUAAUGGAACAAAUUUCUUUGCUCUUGAAAAAAAUAAGGAACUGGCUAGCAACUUAUUGAACCAUACCAUUAUAAUUGUGCCACCCAUUUCUAUGUCAAGUCCGUGGUGCUGCUAAAAUGUGUAUUCCAUUGAACUCUGUUCAGCUGAGGUGAUGAUAGUCACCACUAACACUCAUUGUUAUGUUUCUGUUCCUGUCUCCUGAUCUUAUGUGUGGGCGAGGGGGGGGGGGAGAGAUGUAUUGCUUAAUCUGGGUGCUCUCUCUCUCUCUCUCUCUCUCUCUCUCUCUCUCUCUCUCUGCAAAGGUCUUACAGAGACACACACACUUUGCCAUGAAGUACAAAAUGUUGUUGCUUUCACUAAUGGCUGACAUUAAAAAAAAAUACAAUUUAUGUAUUUUACCAGGUUAGUCAGUUAUCCAUUCCUAACCAUGUAUAUUCAGCAGUAAGUCCCAUUUAAAUUAGUUGUGCUUACUUUCAGAUAAGUCAGGUUAGGAAUCCAGCCUUACUGCAUUUUUUUAAAAAGCUACUGCUAAGUAUUACAGAAAAACAUCAACUGCCUCUCUUCCCUGCUCCUCUUUACUAUUUUAUAGCGUGCCUUGAUACCAAAUUAAGAAAUAAAAUUUACAAUAAUAAUUUAAAAAAUAUGGGACUGUGUCCUUGUUGGUAUUACGCAAUGAUGAAAACAAAGACUCCACAAGACAAACAAAUUACAACACCUCUAGAUGGAUACCUUGUGACUGUAGGAAACAAUUAACAGUAAAACUGCAAAUAGUGAAAUGCAUUGCAUAAGGAGUUUUUGCAAUGGAACCCGGAAAAUUAAAAUCAAUUAUGCCAUUUUUGAAAAAUGUGAAGGACUGAGCUGACAUGCAUUUUAUGAACUGUAGACUCAUAAAGAAGAAAUUAUGGGUACAUGAAUGUGAACCCCAUCUCUAAUACUUAGACAUUUGUAGUUGUUUGCUUUACUUUUAGAAAAAGCUCAUGAAUUGGAAAGUAACGAUCUGUUUAUACUUGUUCUGUAAUGCACAAGAGUAUGGGAUUUUGCCUUGAUUUAAUUGAAUGUGCAUCUGACUGAUGAACACAAUCCAUGAUAGAUGGUUUGCAUCUAUCAACAUAUAUCAACAAUAGUUAUUCGGUAUAAUGUUUUUCAAGUUAACAGAAAACUUUUUGGAAGGACUUGAAAACACUUUGUGUGGGGUUUUUUUAUUUGAGUUUUUUCAUUUGUGGGGUUGCUCCCCAUGGACCUCUCCAUUGAAAAGUUAUCAUGUAACUUCUGGACACAAAGAACCAAUUUGACAAUGCAAAUAUCAAUAUGCAACUCAUAUUGGAAAAAUGAGUUUUUCUCUCCCAUAGACAGCAUUGAACCAACUAGGUGUCCGGAUAGCUUUUCUGCAAUAUUAUUUGCUCUCUCUGGAAACAGCUGCUAUUAAUCACAGACUAACUUCUGGGUGGCUGUUCCGCAAGAUAAAAACCAAUGCAGCUUUCCCGGAGUGGUCUGUAGCUAUCAAAAAGCUAGAAUCAGCUCCAAACAGCUUUAUGUUUAUCACAUUAGUUAAAUGUGUGCUGCAUGUAUUACCCACUGGAAAAAACCCCAGACCUAAUAUUAGCAAGCAUGAGACUGAAUUACGUACAGUAACUUCUCGGAACAUACGCUUAAACAGAUGGGUUGAGCUCAUUGAAAUUUUGUGUUUUAGGAAUAUAUGCUUGACUGCCUCUUAACACCAUCUAAAAAUACAUGUGAUGCCUGUGUGUAAGCAAGUGCUUGACAGACUGAGCAGAUGCUGUUCACUGGAGUCUGUUAACCUGUUUGCUUAACCUUUCUAUUUAAUUGGAAGAAAUGUUUUGCUUAAAAAACACACCCCACCACCAGCCCAUCUUGGUUAGGUUACAUAUUGUCAGUGAACCUUUCAUUCAAAUCAAGGGCAACCAAACAUGCUUUUGCCUCUACCUGCUUGCCUUAAACCUUUCCAUAGCUUGUAUUUCAUUCAUUUAUGCUUUUGUUCUGUAAUUACUGGCUGACUGUUCUCAUGGAGUUUAGUAUUAAUAUUCCUGGCUGCCUGAUCAAUGAAAUAUUGCCAGAACCAAAGGCAGCAAAAAUACAAUUAUCAUGCACCAUUGAAGAGAAUCCACAUGCAGAAAUGGCCCAAGUUAUUUGAUGCCCGAGGUAGGAAAUCCAAAUGGUAACCCCAGGGUAAUAAUAAUAAUAAUAAUAAUAGGGCAAUAACAACAACAACAACAACAACAACAACAAAGUAACUUCAAUAAUUACACUUGACCUAUUUUGCUGGGGGGGGGGGGAGUAAGAAAAAAAAAUAUGCGGGCUCUUGGGGAUGAAGGCUCCCUGCUGCCCUGUGGAGGCUUCCCGGGCUACCCCAGAGCUGCUCAACCCAAAGAGCAUUUUUAUUAUAUUUUUUCUGAUUGUGAUGCAGGCUGUGAAUUUGAUAUCAUAUUUCCGUAAUUUCUCCCUUUGGUCUAAUCUCUGGCCCACCUAAUCAUAACUUCCUUCACCUCUUCGUCUUUUAAUUCCCAUUCUAAUAAUAGAUUAUACAUUUUAGAUAAUAUCUUUUUAGGAUUUUUUAAUAACUCUGUUUGUAGUUUUGAUUCUUCUUUGCCAAAUCCGGUAAGUUCCUUUGCCUUUUAAUUUUCAGUAUGCACUUUCUCACUCUUAAGUCCUUUUAUAGAGCUUUCUGGUCACAGCUUUAUUCGCCUCCUUCAGCCUUAUUUCGUCACUCCGUCUUUGUUAUUUUCCCGUAAGAAUUCAACUCUCCCUUUCUAUUAAUUUUUGUUAUUUCAUCUUCGGAAAUACGGGAGUGCGUUUGUACCCACCAUCUGCCAUAUGGAGUAACCUGGUGCUUUUCUCCUUGGGGUCUCGGGGCGUUUCAUGGUCAGGCUUGCGUCCUUCUUGCGCUGAGAGCCCUCUGACUUCCUCCACUUAAACUGUGCUGGAACAACAGAGGAUCCCUUUCUUCACUGCUUGGUGCCUUUUUCGGUCUGAGACCUCCUCUCAGACCUUUCUAGGGGUUCACGUCACCCUUACUCCCCCUUAUUUUGCCCGUUCACCGUGACUGGGAAUGCUGCACCGAGGCAGAGCGAAUUCCCCAACCCACCACUUGAGAACACCACGCCAGAAGCCGCCUGGCUCAGAUAUUCAAAGCUUAUAAUAUUCACCUCAAAAUAAGCUAGGAAAAACAGUGUUGUUUUUGUUGUCAUCCCCCAUCCAAAUUUAUACUAAAUGGAGUUCUCCUUGUUGCUGGUGAUAAUGUAACUGUGAUCACAUUGGUUGUGCGCAAGUGAUGCGGAUCAUUGGGGUAAUAGAAUCCCUGCUUAUGUAAAGUUCGGCCAACCUAGUUGCACACAUAUAGAAUAUUUCCAUUGCAUAGUGAUGACCACUUACUGUAAUACAAAUACAGUAUUAUUACAGCCUCAGGGUUCUGUCCUCUCCCCCAUGCUUUUCAACAUCUACAUGCAGCCGCUGGGAGAGAUCAUCAGGGGAUUUGGGCUGGGUGUUCAUCAGUAUGCGGAUGAUACCCAGCUCUACCUCUCUUUCAAAUCAGAACCAGUGAAGGCAGUGAAGGUCCUGUGUGAGUGCCUGGAGGCGGUUGGAGGUUGGAUGGCGGCUAACAGAUUGAGGUUGAAUCCUGACAAGACAGAAGUACUGUUUUUGGGGGACAGGAGGCGGGCAGGUGUGGAGGAUUCCCUGGCCCUGAAUGGGGUAACUGUGCCCCUGAAGGACCAGGUGCGCAGCCUGGACUCACAGCUGUCCAUGGAGGCACAGGUCAAAUCUGUGUCCAGGGCAGCUGUUUACCAGCUCCAUCUGGUACGCAGGCUGAGACCCUAUCUGCCUGCGGACUGCCUCGCCAGAGUGGUGCAUGCUCUGGUUAUCUCCCGCUUGGAUUACUGCAAUGCGCUCUACGUGGGGCUACCUUUGAAGGUGACCCGGAAACUACAACUAAUCCAGAACGUGGCAGCUAGACUGGUGACUGGGAGCGGCCACAGAGACCACAUAACACCGGUCUUGAAAGACCUACAUUGGCUCCCAGUACGUUUCCGAGCACAAUUCAAAGUGUUGGUGCUGACCUUUAAAGCCCUAAACGGCCUUGGUCCAGUAUAUCUGAAGGAGCGUCUCCAUCCCCAUCGUUCUACCCGGACACUGAGGUCCAGCACCGAGGGCCUUCUGGCGGUUCCCUCACUGCGAGAAGCCAAGUUACAGGGAACCAGGCAGAGGGCCUUCUCGGUAGUGGCGCCUUCCCUGUGGAACACCCUCCCACCAGAUGUCAAAGAGAACAACAACUACCAGGCUUUUAGAAGACAUCUGAAGGCAGCCCUGUUUCGGGAAGCUUUUAAUGUUUGAUGUAUUAUAGUAUUUUAAUAUUCUUUUGGAAGCCGCCCAGAGUGGCCGGGGAAGCCCAGCCAGAUGGGCGGGGUAUAAAUAAUAAAUUAUUAUUAUUAUUAUUAUUAUUAUUAUUAUUAUUGAAGAAGUGCUGAAAUGGAGAGUAACACAAAAGGCACCAAGAGGAUCAUAACAAUCUCCACCAGCCUGCUAUAAUGUCAAGCAGACUCAAACUAAAUUAAGCAACUGUUCAAUUUAUUUGUGUUAAGACUCAAGUUCUGUCUCUUUGGAACAACUACACAGGAAUCUUGAAAAGCAAUAUGUGCUUCUUUUCACUUGCUUUACAGUGUUUGGGUCAUAUAUCGGUUGAAAAUUAGACAGCAAGCAACACAUUUCCUUUUUUCAUUACAGUGCUGGAUAUAAAAAUACUGAAUAGGGCAAAGGACUGAUGUUAAGAGGCACCGGCUGUGUGCAUAUUGUGGCAUAAAUACUAUAAUGCUAGCUAUUCAUUAACAAUGUUAAUUAAAUGCCUUCAAAUAACCUGAUUUAUAAUGAACAAGAACAUUGAAGUAUUUCUGCCCUUGCUAAUUUCAGCUUGUUGCAUGCUAUAUUAUUGUAUAUAAUUAGGCAACAGCCAGGAAUUAUAACCUGAAAUGCUUAUUACCGGAAAAAGGACAACUGAUGCUAUUUAUAUCAACUGAUGUCAGUUAUAUCAGGAAAGAACUUGUUGAAAAGAUGGUGUUAAUUUAAUUUUUGCUUGAUUGUGAGUGUGGUCAUGAUACCUAUCAUAUAUUUUGCAUGGUUUGCUUAACAAGUAUCAACAACUGUAUGCUAUAUUUGGAUCAAGAAUGAUUGACAGUCAGUUUUACUCCAACAGUUUUACUCAAACUAUGAACUGCUGUAGCUGUUUCACAGUGUGCCCAAAUCCGCAUCAAAUCCCCUCCACUUCUGUAGGGUUAAUCUCAGAUCCUUUAAAUAAACUAAGUUUUCACACUGCUGUGAAUUCCCAUUUCUAAGUUUAGGGACAUUCUUAUUCCUUUUACAUUCCACCAACCCCAGAGACAUCUCAUGAAAAGCUGAUGGUUUCUUUAAAUAAAUUUGCUGUUGUUGUUGACAUUGUGCCUUGGGAACACCUGUUGGUAAGGCUUUGGGGAGCCAACUGAAGACCCAAGCAGUCCUCAUUCUCCCAUCACUGUUGUUGGAUGGUAGAUUUGCAGAAAUGUGAAAGGGAAGGGAACAGCUUGGAAAUUUUUUACUUUCCUUACAAGCCUACCCAAACUUCGAUUAUUAUUAUUUUUUUACAAGUCCUCUCACCUUCUUACCAAAAAAUGCAUGCAGCAAUGGGAAAUCAGUAAAGCAAAGUACAAUCGAGAAAGAUGGAGAAAAGAAGCAGAUAGGCUAGUUAAGCUGUUCACAUAAACAUUGCCAUGAAAGAGGAAACCCACCAGCCAAAAAUAGGGCACAGAUUUGCAUAAAGCAUGCAUAUGCAAAUUUGUAAAUAUGGGUGCAAAUUUAGAAAUAAUUAUUAUAAUUCAAAUAUUAUAAAUACAAUGCAGCUCCCCAUAGUAGGAAAGACUGAGGCUAGGUGCUCCUUGUUGGUCCACUGUAAAUACCGGAGAGGAACUUUCUGCCUUCCCUUCUUACAGUCUUCUUCUCUAACUGGGACCAAACAGAUUGUCAGAUAAAUUACAGCCCUCUGUAAAAGAGGACACUUGGCCACUCCAGUGUCAGACCAGCUAAUUCUCUUUUCUCUUUCUGCCACUGAGCAAAAUAACUCAAUACUUUGCUCUUUCUGUGGGUAUGGGCAAUACCCAGUUUUCUCUCACCUAAACUGCAUCCAUAAUAGCAGCAGCUUUGUUGUGGGAUUUGCAUGAACAGUAUUGUGCUGUUAAUCUGAAUGUUUAAAUAAUCUGUGACUAACUGAGACACAGUCUUAUUACUGAAAUGUUUUUAUUACACCAACAUUUGAUUCCCCGCCCAGAGUAAUUGUAGAGCACCAUGCUAUCUUAAAGCACACACCUUGUUGGUUUGAGUUUCCACCAUUUUCUCUUUAUUCCAACAUGGCAGCUAGUGUAUAUGGAAUUGCUUGUCAUCUGUGUGACCCAGCUGCUAAGCGUUGGCGUAAACUUUUUUUUUUGUGGGGCGGGGGAGAAUGCACCAUCUGGAUAAUCAUAAUUCUUGCUCUUUUCCUGGCAAGCUAGUUAAUUGUUGGGUGUUAUUCAUGAUGGACCUAUUUAUAAGGAUAAUUGAGGGUCAAGCUAUUGAUUUCUUCUCCUGUGUACCUUGGAUGCCACAUUUGUUGAUGAAUUUUUGUUUAUGAGUGAUUGGCCUUAGAAAGAUUUAAAAGACAGAAGAUAUACAGCAUUUUUUUACUUCUUAUUGAAAUAAAAUGUUAGCUUUGUAUUUUCCUGAAGGCAACAAAUAUUGAUGCUAAAAUAACUUUUGCCUGAAUAAUAGCCUUAUUUAUAAAUCAAUUUUAUUUGAAUAUUUAAAUUUAAGUAAGUUUAGUUCCAUCCUUGACAAUUUGACCUCACUGAAUUAAGAAGAGUAAACUGGCUAAGGUCUGAGUGCUGUGGCUUAAUUAUUUUGUCAGUCCACCAUUACUAUGGUAAUGAAUUAUUUUCAUACCUAAUGGGCCAAUCCAAAACUUUGCUGCAUCAGCAAAAAAAGUGCUUAGAAUGGGAUGCACUGAUUGCUGUGCCAGCUAAUUUCAUAUUGCACGACUUAUUGCAGUAUUGCAGCUGUAUUGUUCUGGAUUUGUAAACAGAGACAUUGCAGCACCUGUUUAAAACUUGGGUGAAACAUAUUUAUAUCCAGUGAGUUCAGCUAGUUUAAAAAGGUGUGAACUCCAAAUACUGAACUAAACUAUUGUAACAAACCACUGCGGAUCCAUGCAGCAGUGGUGUAGCGUGGGUUGCCAGUGGCUGGGGCCAUGCAGAGGGGAGUGGGUGGGAGGAAGGGAAAUGGAUGGAGUACGUAUGUGCAUUCAGUUGCCUAAUGGCAUCCGCGUCACCCAGGAGACCGCAGCUGCUGAGAUAAGAAAGAAGAGUUGUUCCAUUGUCUGGAGAGGUCACUUACUGGUUCAUAUGGGGAAGCCAUUUUCAAUGGAGUCCAGCAACAGAAGCACACAACUGUAUUGAGGCAGCACAGGGGGUUGACAUUUUGUGCCCCCUAACAAUUUUGUGCUCAGGGCAACCACCCCGGGGGGGGGCAUGCUAUGCCACUGCCCUGCAAGGGAGGGGGAAUUAGAGACUCAGGGGCCAUUUGCUUAAGAUGAUUUAAAAAAAAAAAGAGAGUCUAGUAGUGCAAUCUCAUAGUUUUAGAACCAACUCCCAUUAAGUUCAAUGCUGCAAUCCUAUGCUCAUUUAUUGAUUUAUGCAUAUGAUUGCUCUAUAAGAAAAUGCUUGAUAAAGGUUAUAAAGUUAUGAAUAACAUUUGACUGAGGAGACGGGCUAAUUUAUUCUCUCUGUUUAAGAUUCAUUCAUUUUUAAGGAUGAUGAUGAUGAUGAUGAUUUAUUGAAAGAGAAAGGUAAAAUUAGAACAAGAAACAGUUUUGGAAAAUUGUUAUGACAUGUGGAAUAAAGCUAUCAGGAAUGAAAACACUGAAGUCCCCUGAAGCUGUUGCUUUUCUGGCUGGUGGAUGGAGACAAGUUGGCCUACCUUUUGCAAUGAUGUGUUGGAUGCUUGGUCUUCUGGUGGCAGAAGCUAGAAUGCCCUUCUCUCAAUCCCUGCAUUUCCAGAGUUGAAGAUGCUGGCCUGGACUCUGUGUCCCUUACAUACUGACAGUUUUGAAGAAGUGGCACACAGAGGGGGUUUUUAUGUGCCAGACUUUUGGAUGCCUUGAAAUGAUUUUCUCACCCCCUACCAAAUUACUCAUUCUCACCUGCUGAAUCUUAGCCAUGUGAAUUAUAAAGCACAGUGACUUACACUCAGCUUCUCUGUGGGAUAGAUCCUCUCCAGUCACAAAAGAAGUUUGACUGCAGCAGGAGAGAUAUAUUAAAGUUACUUCUUUUGCAUUUCCAGCCAGUAAAUACAGUGAUGCAUGGAGGAAAAUGAAGUGUAAUUGGUGUUAGAAAACCAGUUGCCAUCAUAACAUGCAAGGCUACCUGGUUUGCUAAUUUUAUGUCUCUCAGUAUUUUAUGUCUAUAGUGAUGAGUAAUUAUCCAUUUAACAACAAUUCGUCUUCAAAGCUGUUACAGCACAUAAUUAAAAUCAACUUUUUUUUUUUUUACAGACCCAUCACAUAGAAAAGGAAUGAAAUUGGAAUUUUCUCCUCCUGUGAAAUUUAUACUGGACACCCAGCAC